CUACGGGUGGCAGCAGUGGGGAAUAUUGGACAAUGGGGGAAACCCUGAUCCAGCAAUGCCGCGUGUGUGAAGAAGGCCUGCGGGUUGUAAAGCACUUUCGGUUGGGAGGACUGCUUCUAGCACUAAUAUUGUUGGAAGUUGACGUUACCUUCAGAAGAAGCACCGGCUAACUCCGUGCCAGCAGCCGCGGUAAUACGGAGGGUGCAAGCGUUGAUCGGAAUUACUGGGCGUAAAGCGCGCGUAGGCGGCUAGAUCAGUCGGGUGUGAAAGCCCCGGGCUUAACCUGGGAACUGCAUCCGAUACGGUCCAGCUGGAGUACAGGAGAGGAGAGUGGAAUUCCACAUGUAGCGGUGAAAUGCGUAGAUAUGUGGAGGAACACCAAUGGCGAAGGCAGCUCUCUGGCCUGAUACUGACGCUGAGGUGCGAAAGCGUGGGGAGCAAACAGGAUUAGAUACCCGGGUAGUC
rnacentral:rRNA from 1 species